AUUGAACGCUGGCGGCAGGCCUAACACAUGCAAGUCGAGCGGAUGAAGGGAGCUUGCUCCUGGAUUCAGCGGCGGACGGGUGAGUAAUGCCUAGGAAUCUGCCUGGUAGUGGGGGAUAACGUCCGGAAACGGGCGCUAAUACCGCAUACGUCCUGAGGGAGAAAGUGGGGGAUCUUCGGACCUCACGCUAUCAGAUGAGCCUAGGUCGGAUUAGCUAGUUGGUGGGGUAAAGGCCUACCAAGGCGACGAUCCGUAACUGGUCUGAGAAGAUGAUCAGUCACACUGGAACUGAGACACGGUCCAGACUCCUACGGGGGGCAGCAGUGGGGAGUAUUGGGCAGUGGGCGAAAGCCUGAUCCAGCCAUGCCGCGUGUGUGAAGAAGGUCUUCUGAUUGUAAAGCACUUUAAGUUGGGAGGAAGGGCAGUAAGUUAAUACCUUGCUGUUUUGACGUUACCAACAGAAUAGUCACGGGCUAGCUUCGUG
rnacentral:rRNA from 1 species